rnacentral:rRNA from 1 species
UACGUAGGGGGCUAGCGUUGUCCGGAAUCAUUGGGCGUAAAGCGCGUGUAGGCGGUCCGGUAAGUCCGCUGUGAAAGUCGGGGGCUCAACCCUCGGAUGCCGGUGGAUACUGUCGGGCUUGAGUACGGAAGAGGCGAGUGGAAUUCCUGGUGUAGCGGUGAAAUGCGCAGAUAUCAGGAAGAACACCCGUGGCGAAGGCGGCUCUCUGGGACGGUACUGACGCUGAGACGCGAAAGCGUGGGGAGCGAACAGG